rnacentral:lncRNA from 1 species
AGUGGUAUCGGCGGGAGUUCCGCCCUGCGCGUGGCAGGGAGGGUGGUGCUGGGCCCUGUGCAUUUCCGCUAGGCAAACCCGAGCCCGCGCGACUUGUCUGCCCUACUGAGAACCAGGCAGAGAGGGAACCCAGAAAGUCCAGACGGGUUGCUGAUUAGCACACGAUUAGCCAACAGAAUCAGACAUGAAGUCAUCCAGUUCCCACCAGUGGUCGGAGAUGCAGACAACACUUACAUCAGGGAUAAAAGGCAGAAGCCAUCUCACUCCCUCACCACUUACUAACAUAACCACUUACUAACCUAACCACUUACUAACCUAACCACUUACUAACCUAACCACUUACUAACCUAACCACUUACUAACCUAACCCAGUUUGGGUUUUGGUACACCUGUUGUUGUUGCUGUUGUUGUUGCUGUUGUUGUUGCUGUUGUUGCUGCUGCUGCUGCUGUUGUUGUUUGUAACGAGAAUCGCCUUUGAAGCUACCUUCCUUCUGUUUGUGUCCCUGAGUGCCACAGUGAAUUCUCUAUUUCUAACCACCAGUGUACGUAGUCUAAGGCCUUACCACCUUGAAUAACAUCAGUGGACAUGCCAUGCCAAUUCAGAUUGGGGGAGUUCCACAAGGCCCCAUUUGUAGAUGAAGUGCUACAGGCAAUCAAAGGUUGCUGAAAGAGGGGGAAUUGGGCUUCUUCAGGGACAAGACCCUUGAUAAAUAAAUUAUCGCAUCCCAAAUAUACAGCCAUAAACUAAAUGGGCUCUGUAGGUUUGUGUGUGUGUGUGUGUGUGUGUGUGUGUGUGUGUGUGUGUGUGUGUGUGUGUAAAACAUAUCAUUAGAUAGAUAGAUAGAUAGAUAGAUAGAUAGAUAGAUAGAUAGAUAGAUAGAUAGAGAUAGAUAGAUAAUGAUAUGUGUUACAAUAACAAUUAUACAAGAAGAAGAGGUCAUGAACUUGACAGGAAAUGGAGAGAGGUAGAAAAUUUGUUUUGGUGAUGUGGUGGAUUGGUUUCAAGACAGGGUUUCUCUGUAUAGACCUGUCUAUCAUGGAAUUCAUUCUGUAGACUAAGUUGGCCUCUGACUCAGAGAUCCAUCUGCCGAUUUCUGCUUCCCCAAAGCUGGAAUUAAAGGAAUGCCCUACCAUACCCUUCAGAAAAGAUUUAAAUGCAAUUCAGAUCCUGUACACGUGUCCCAGGCUACCAGACUCCCUCCCUUCCCCUGCCAACCAGGAACCAGCCUGACUACAAUUACUUACUAUGGAAUGCCCAUCAGUCACAUGGUAUAGAGCCAGCUCCCUCCUCUGAAAUGUAUAAGAAGGGACAUUAUUGUGCCACAUGGGCCUACACUCCCUUCAGGGUACCCACAGUUGUCUUUCAGUCAAUCAAAAUUGUCAACUCGAUUAAUAAAUCUUUGACCC